rnacentral:tRNA from 1 species
AGCCCCGAGAUUUACACAGAUUGCAAAUCUGAAGAGCAGGCUAACUUCCUGCCGGGGCUU